rnacentral:misc_RNA from 1 species
AACCUAGCACACCUGCGGUGUGUACCUGCGGAAGGAUCAUUACCUAGAGUUGUAGGCUUUGCCUGCUAUCUCUUACCCAUGUCUUUUGAGUACCUUACGUUUCCUCGGUGGGUCCGCCCACCGAUUGGACAAACUUAAACCCUUUGCAGUUGAAAUCAGCGUCUGAAAAAACUUAAUAGUUACAACUUUCAACAACGGAUCU